rnacentral:lncRNA from 1 species
CCUGACAUUACGUGCCUGGUUCCUCUCUUGCCUCCCUCGCAAGAAGCAUUUCCUCUGCCUGCGGCUCUGACAAACACACUCCCAAAAGCUGCGGCGCACAGAGCCGGUGGCCAGCGGGACUGCGCUCCCGCGCCGGGCCGAGCGCAGCCCGGCGCUGCCGAGGCGCCCCCGCAUCCCGCCGCCGGCUUCCUCCGCACCACCGACCCCGUCCCUGCCCGGGGGCCCUUCCACCGACCCGGCCGAGCCGCCGCUCCCCUCCCGGCCGGCCCCGGCCCCGGCCCGGCCCCGCCGCGCCCCGUACCUGCCCCGGCCCGGCGGCGGAAGCGGCGGCGGCGGAAGCGGCGGCGGAAGCGGCGGGAGCGGGCGGAGCGAGCGGAGCCAUGUCGGGCCGGGAGGGUAAGGCCGGGCCCGGGGCCGCCGGUGCCGCCCGCCCGGCCCCGCCCGGCCCUCACUGUCCCCUCUGUCUUUGCAGGCGGCAAGAAGAAGCCGCUGAAGCAGCCGAAGAAGCAGACGAAGGACCUGGAUGAGCUCUGCAAUACUGUGAGCACUUGGGAACAACACAUUGCAAGAAAAACCCCACAGAAGUGGAUAAAUGUGAGGGAUUGAUUUACUAGGAAAGACACAUUAGCCAACUGGAGACAGGAAAACCUGGAGAGAGAAACAGAAUAUUCUGUUCUGUGAGGG